UUCAUAACAAACUGGUAUUAGAGCCUUUUUGAUUAUUUUCUUGGGGAUGGUAACCAUGAAGUAUGAUAUUCCAUUAUUGGAUCACAACACCAGAUUUUUAUUAUAGCAGGAUAAGAUGAAGGUUAUGCUCAUGCAGAUGGAUUUGGAUAAUGCUUUAUUAGGGUUUGAGAAGAUGCCCUCAUCAUGGAAAAAUUAGGACAAACGAUGUAA
rnacentral:lncRNA from 1 species